UACGUAGGGGGCAAGCGUUGUCCGGAAUCAUUUGGCGUAAAGAGCGUGUAGGCGGCCAGGUAGGUCUGCUGUGAAAACUCGAGGCUUAACCUCGAGCUGUCGGCGGAAACCAUCUGGCUAGAGUCCGGAAGAGGAGAAUGGAAUUCCCGGUGUAGCGGUGAAAUGCGCAGAUAUCGGGAAGAACACCCGUGGCGAAGGCGGUUCUCUGGGACGGUACUGACGCUGAGACGCGAAAGCGUGGGGAGCGAACAGG
rnacentral:rRNA from 1 species